GAUGAACGCUAGCGGCAGGCCUAAUACAUGCAAGUCGGACGGGAUUUGGGAGCUUGCUCCUAAUGAGAGUGGCGCACGGGUGCGUAACACGUAUGUAACCUACCUUAAUCAGGGGGAUAGCCUCUCGAAAGAGAGAUUAACACCGCAUAAUAUAUUUUUAUGGCAUCGUAGAAAUAUCAAAUAUUUAUAGGAUUAAGAUGGGCAUGCGGAACAUUAGCUAGUUGGUAAGGUAACGGCUUACCAAGGCUACGAUGUUGAGGGGAUCUGAGAGGAUGACCCCCCACACUGGUACUGAGACACGGACCAGACUCCUACGGGAGGCAGCAGUAAGGAAUAUUGGUCAAUGGGCGCAAGCCUGAACCAGCCAUGCCGCGUGCAGGAAGACGGCCCUAUGGGUUGUAAACUGCUUUUGUACCGGAAUAAACCCUUUUACGUGUAAGAGGCUGAAUGUACGGUAAGAAUAAGGAUCGACUAACUCCGUGCCAGCAGCCGCCGUAA
rnacentral:rRNA from 1 species